GACGAACGCUGGCGGCGUGCUUAACACAUGCAAGUCGAACGGAAAGGCCCUGCUUUUGUGGGGUGCUCGAGUGGCGAACGGGUGUGUAACACGUGAGUAACCUGCCCUUGACUUUGGGAUAACUUCAGGAAACUGGGGCUAAUACCGGAUAGGAUCCCCCGCUGCAUGGUGGGGGGUGGAAAGUCUCGGGGGUUGGGGAUGGACUCGCGGCUUCUGCGUUUGUUGGUGGGGUAGGGGUUUCCAAGGGCUUUGGCGGGUGCCGGGCCUGAGAGGGUGACGGGCCACAGUGGGACUGAGAUGCGGCCCAGACCCAUGCGGGGGGGAGGAGGGGAGAAUAUUGCACAAUGGGCGGAAGCCAGGCGGAGCAGCCCCGCGUGGGGGAAGACGGCCUUGGGGUUGUAAACCGCUUUCGCCUGUGACGAAGCGUGGGGAACGGUAAUGGGAAAGAAAGCACCGGCUAACUAGGG
rnacentral:rRNA from 1 species